CCAAGACAGGAGGGAGCCGAUGGUGGGGAGGGGAGAGGAAUGAUUCCGAAGAUUCCAGGGAAUCGCUUGAUCAGACCUGUGUCUGUUGUGGAUCCCCAGCAGGAGCUGGCCUGGAGAUGCCGGAGCCAGCCUUGCUCUCCGAGGCUUCCUCUGCGUAAGGGGAACAAUGCCAACAUUGAAGGCCUCGGUUGGAGUCUGCACAGUUGGAGAUCUUUGGUGCCACUUUAGACAUCUUUGGAUUUCAUCAAUCAAAUUGACUGCAAUUUUCCAUAAAAACCCUGAAUUUGGGUCAGAAAGUGGGCAAAGUAGAUAAAGAUCAUUCGAGCUGUCUUAUAAGAUGAUAAAUAGAUAUCCUUUCAGGCCAACAA